GCUGGCGUAGCUCAGUUGGUAGAGCGGCUGAUUUGUAAUCAGCGGGUCGAGGGUUCAAAUCCUUUCGCCAGCUUCA
rnacentral:tRNA from 2 species